rnacentral:rRNA from 1 species
CAGUGGGGAAUAUUGCACAAUGGGCGCAAGCCUGAUGCAGCAACGCCGCGUGAGGGACGAAGGCCUUCGGGUUGUAAACCUCUUUUAGUAGGGAAGAAGCGAAAGUGACGGUACCUGCAGAAAAAGCACCGGCUAACUACGUGCCAGCAGCCGCGGUAAUACGUAGGGUGCAAGCGUUAUCCGGAAUUAUUGGGCGUAAAGAGCUCGUAGGCGGUUUGUCGCGUCUGCUGUGAAAACUGGGGGCUCAACCCCCAGCCUGCAGUGGGUACGGGCAGACUAGAGUGCGGUAGGGGAGAUUGGAAUUCCUGGUGUAGCGGUGGAAUGCGCAGAUAUCAGGAGGAACACCGAUGGCGAAGGCAGAUCUCUGGGCCGUAACUGACGCUGAGGAGCGAAAGCAUGGGGAGCGAACAGGAUUAGA